ACCAUUUAUUAAUUAGAAAUAUACGGGUUAUAUAGAUAUAUGUAAUUUGUUUUAUUCUUCCGAAUUUGAUGGAAGAACGGAGAGAAGGGCCGGGAUAAAAUUACGUUUUCGGUUUUGGGAAGCAUCCGAGGCAAGCGAAUGAAAAACUUGCAAAAGAACAAAAGUUAUAAGAGCUGCCGGGAAUGUUUUGGUGAGAAAUAGUUCUGAUGCUUAAGUCAGUUAUUUUUUUAGAAGAUAUAAUGGACCGUAAAUAGAGUCUUUAUUAGAGAGAAUUCGGAACCCCAUUUACUUGAGCUUCAUCCUCCUUUUAUAGGAGUGUGGGAGCUUGUGAUUGAGUCCAACCCAAUUCCCUGGUCCAUGAGUCAACUACAAUUUCCUUAUGCUUGAGUUUUACCCCAAGCCCAAUCUCCUCUCUUUGCAUCUUUUGUUCACUUUGUAUCUAGCCCGUGAUUAAUUGAAUAAAACAAGUAGCCUAAUAAAUAAA